ACGCUCGACACCUACGGGAGACAGCAGUGGGGAAUAUUGCACAAUGGGGGAAACCCUGAUGCAGCGACGCCGCGUGAGUGAAGAAGUAAUUCGUUAUGUAAAGCUCUAUCAGCAGGGAAGAAAGUGACGGUACCUGAGUAAGAAGCCCCGGCUAACUACGUGCCAGCAGCCGCGGUAAUCUGAGCGGCGUGGCAAGGC
rnacentral:rRNA from 1 species